GUGAGGGGGCACAGAAGCAUAAGCUGUGUCUCUGACCCUUAAGAGCCUGAUGUGUAACCCAGGAGGCCUUUCAGCUUCAAAUCAAACCAGAUGCUAACAAUCAGGAUGAAUCAUUAAAAAUCAGUAGAAAGUACCACCUCCCUGUUCAUACUGUUCAUGGGGUUCUCAAGGCAAGAAUACUGAAGUGGCUUGGCAUUCCCUUCUCCAGUGAAGCUCCAAUACUUUGGCCACCCAAUGCGAAGAACUGACUCUUUGGAAAAGACCCUGAUGCUGGGAAAGAUUGAAGGCAGGAGGAAGAAGGAGACGACAGAGGAUGAGAUGGUUGGAUGGCAUCAUCGACUCGAUGGACAUGAGUUUGAGCAAGCUCCAAGAGUUGGUGAUGGACAGAUAAGCAGCCUGGUGUGCUGCAGUCCAUGGGGUUGCAAAGAGUCCGACAUGACUGAGCAAUUGAACUGACUGACCACCUCCCUGAAUUCCCUUGGUGGGGGGUCAGCAAAAGGACUAAGCAAGACCUGGUGGCUGGUUCUAACUAGAAAAUUACUUAACCUCUCUCUGCCUCUGUUUGCCCAUCCAUCAAAUGGGAACAAUAGUAACGUUCUCAUGGGACUCACAGGAUUGUAACAAGAAUAACUUGAGAUCCUCACAGUGCAUUAAAAAGAACAAAAUGUUGUCCACAUGAUCUGGGGGAGACUGGGGACCACAUCUCACUCUCUACUGCAUCCCAAGCACCUGUACAGUGUGGGUCUGGCAGACAGUAGGAGCUCAAUAAACAUUUGUGGAGUGAAUGAUGGAACAGGCAGGUAUAAUCACAAGUCCAUAAAGGACAGAGAACUACACAUCCUUCCAUCAACUCCGAGCCUGAGGAGGCUCACCCCAUUCCAGCUUCAACCCUGUAUCCAUCCUCCUCAGAAUGGUCCCCAUCCUGAUUCUGGCACCGCAUAUCCACUAUAAGGAGUCCCUCAUUCACGGCAGCAAAGGUUCGAAGCCUUAAGUUCACCCCCAGCCAGGGAGCAGAGGCCAGCACUGAUCUCAGCCCGUUUCCUCGGGUUUCAGGGUGCAGCACUUGCUGUCACAAGGAACUGGGCAGCUCCGCCCUUGUUUCCCGCUCCCAUCUGCUGAGGCAGGGGAACGUUGGGCCAUAGGAGUCAGCCAAGCGGCUCUCUGGCCAGCUGACAAGGAGACCGGGCACCAGAGAGCAGCCAUACCUGAUGCACCCCCAACCAGAACCUCAGG
ensembl:lncRNA